CCUGAUUUCCCCUACUCGUCGCCGUACCCCUCCCUUGAUUUUUCUCUUGCUCGUCGCUGCACCUUUCCCUUGAUUUUCCCUGCUCGCCAUAGGCUUUUGUACAACCCUUGCUGCCCCCAUCAUCGCAACCCUUCGCCAUUUCUUCUCUCAUAUGCUCCCCAAUUGCUUCUCUCCCCUGCUCCCUCAUUGUUCUCUUUGAUGCGUAACCCAUUUCUUUCAAUUUCUAUCGUUUAGUUUUGUGCGUAGUAUUUUUGGGGUAUUCGGCCUUCCAGCUACAAUCUGGGGAUUUUAACGUACCUAGUAUUUCUUCCAACUGCCAGUAUCAGACACUGAAUGACAAACUUCUGUUGGAACUACAGAGUAUAGGGUUGUAUCCUGAGACCUUGCCUGAUCUGACCGAGGGAGAAGAUCUGAUUAACCAAGAAAUUAUGGAGCACAAGAGAAGCUUGUACCAACAGAUUGAGAGAAAGAGGCGCAACCUGGAAAAGGUGGAGCAAUCUAUCAAGAGAGCAAAAGAUAUGAAAAAACGAUCAACUAGGCUAUGCUGUUUGAAUAUUAUGUGGCUGAGUUUUGUGUACUCGGGAAGUUUUGCGUUCACUGAAGUCAUCGUUGACUAGUAAUGAAGCACUUCAGUAUGCUGAAUAUUCGCCAACGCGCGUGAACUCGCCGCCGUGCUAUCAUCGGAGGCAGCUUCUUCCGUUGCCGCAUUGCGCUCAUGCCUCACGUGGAACACUCACCCUCCUCACCACCGGCAUGUUACCGGCUCGGGAUGUCCGUUGUUGAGCGAUUUCGGUUGCAAUAUCCCGACAUCGGAGGCUCAUCCAGCAAGUCAGUUUUUAGCGGAAUGGUUCGAGGCAUGUGGGGGGUCGCCCGGGAAUGGGCUUAGGCUUUGUUCGCACGUGGGGUGUGGACGACCCGAGACGAGACGACAUGAGUUCCGUCGGUGUUCCGUUUGUGGUGCCGUUAUUUCGGCAUUUCGGCAUUGAAAGAUUAUCUCUGAUUAUCUUUCUUUUCCGUUUCUAUAAGGUUCUGGAGGAUAUUCGUAUUUGUAUGAACCUAUGUGGUAGGCCGGGAUGAUAAGUAGAAAUUGAUGGUUCAAGUUCAAGCUUCAGUCAGCUGUUUUGAAUUGAAGGGAGUUAUCACUAAACAAAUGACUGCAAUAGAAAAAAUGGUUGCAAGUGAGUACAAUUAGCCAGACCCUCAUCUUUGUGACAAGAUCUUGAAGUUGGUCAUUUGUGAAGCGUUCUAGUUUGCUAUUAGUUGCAGUUUUAGUUAUUGCUCUCUCAAUAUAUUCUUUUUCUUUCUUUCUUUCUUUUUUUUCCAUAGGAUGAUCAGUGUAAUAAUUAAGCUUCAUAAUUUCUGU